rnacentral:rRNA from 1 species
GUUUUAAUUAAUUUUAAUUUUAAUUUUGUAGUUAAUUUAUUUAUAAAAAUAUUUUAAAAAUUAUUUGUUUUAGUAUUAAGUAAAAAUAAAUUUUUAGAUUUAUAGUUAAUUAGUAUUGUAAAAGAAUUUUAUUAAAUUUUUUUAAGAUUAAUUUAAGUACCUUUUGUAUCAGGGUUAAUUAAAAUUUUUAAAUUAUUUUAAUUUCUCAAAAUUUAUAGAGUUAAUUUUAUUAUUAAGUUAUUGUUUUAUAAAUAUUUAUAAAAUAAUUUUAGAUUUUAAAUUUAAUUUCGUUAUAAUAUAUUUAGUUAUUUAAGAUUUAAAUUGAAUUUAUAAUUUUAAUAGUUAUAUUUAUUUAUUUUAUAUUUAUAUUUUAAAUUUAAAUUAUUUUAAGGAUAAGCUUAAAAUUUUUAUAUAAUAAUAUAUAAUAAUUAAUAUUUUAUAGAAAUAAAAAUUUUUAUUUUGAGUUUGUAAAAAUUUAUUAUUAAUUUUGAAUUUAAUUUAUUAUAUUUUAUUUAUUUUUUAUAUUAAAUUUUAUAAUAUAAUAUUUUUUUUAUAGUAAUAAUGAUUAAAUUAGUAUAAUAUGAAUUUAUUAAUUAUGAAUUCGGCAAAAAUUUAUUUUCAUCUGUUUAUCAAAAACAUUGUAUUAAUUUUUAUUUAAUAUAGAAUCUGCUCAAUGAAUUUUUUUUUAAUAGCUGCAGUAUUUUGACUGUGCAAAGGUAGCAUAAUAAUUAGUCUUUUAAUUGAGGACUAGGAUGAAAGAUUUGAUGAAAAAUAAACUUUAUUAUUAAUAUAUUUAAAAUUUUAUUUUUAAGUAAAAAAGCUUAAAUUUUUUAAAGGGACGAUAAGACCCUAUAAAACUUUAUAAUUAUUAAUUUUUAUUUUUGUUUGUUUAAAUUAAUAUUUAAAUUUAAUUAAUUAUUUUAUUGGGGUGAUAAAAAAAUUUAUUUAACUUUUUUUAAAAUUAAACAUUAUUUAAUGAUUUUUUGAAUUAAAAUUUUUAAUUAAAGGAAAAAGUUACUUUAGGGAUAACAGCGUAAUUAAUUUUUUAAGUUCAUAUUUUAAAAUUAGU